GAUGAAGAACGCAGCGAAAUGCGAUAAGUAAUGUGAAUUGCAGAAUUCAGUGAAUCAUCGAAUCUUUGAACGCACAUUGCGCCCGCCAGUAUUCUGGCGGGCAUGCCUGUUCGAGCGUCAUUACAACCCUCAGGCCCCCGGGCCUGGCGUUGGGGAUCGGCGGAGCCCCCCGUGGGCACACGCCGUCCCCCAAAUACAGUGGCGGUCCCGCCGCAGCUUCCAUCGCGUAGUAGCUAACACCUCGCGACUGGAGAGCGGCGCGGCCACGCCGUAAAACACCCAACUCUUCUGAAGUUGACCUCGAAUCAGGUAGGAAUACCCGCUGAACUUGAGCAUAUCAAUAAGCGGAGGA
rnacentral:misc_RNA from 1 species